UAAACAGGAAGUAGUAUGUUGCUAGCUUGAGACCCUUGUUUUCGGACUUCAUUUAUUGGGCAAAUUUUCACCAUUGCAAUUGCGCGGAAUUAGCUCCAAGCGGCUCCUGUUUCGGUUUACCUGUGGAUGUACAAACAACUAUCAGUGAAUUACUGUGACACUGAAAACUUUAAAACCUGGCGACUCUCAGGCGAGUUCUGGAGUUGGUCGGAGCGUCUUUUUUUCUAAGACUUCCAAGCGGAUUUACGGACGUUUGUUCGCGAUGCACGUCGAAGAUAACGAUAUUCCCGGGAAGUAGGCGAGAGUUGCUGCAGCAACAACAAUAAACCGGACCGUGGAGGAGAGGAUGAAGAUGGAGGGCAACAAGUCAGACGCUCGUCCUGUCGACACGGCUGCAGCUGAUGGACGCUGGAGACGAGGACAGAGACACUGAAACCUGCGUCCAGAACCGGAGUUUCAGGUGAACUGGACCUGAGCUCGUCUCUGUCAGACAUCCUACGUUUCCCACAAUGCCUUUCAACGAGCUUUGGAUGACCCUUGAACUUGCUGCUGACAGGAAAUGCGGACUCAUUCCUGCACCACUCUUCACCAGAAACAAAGAUGGCUGCGCUCAUAUCCAGGAUGUUUUGGCUUCAUUUUCGCAAGAAAAUAAAGACGCGUCGGCCAUCUUUAUUUACAGUCACUGUUCAUGAUGGUCUC